rnacentral:lncRNA from 1 species
AGAAAUCUACCAUCUUGGCAGUUCUGGCAUAUCGGGGAAUGCCAACUUGAGUUCAACUUCAGAAGACACAAUAGGCUUCCUGGAGGGAAUAUAGAGGACCUCAGGAUACACACUUGGUCACUGGAUUGAGAUUCUUGAAUGUUAGAAGAAAGAUCCAGGAGCAAUUUCGCUGAAGAUCUCAAAAGGUGAUGAUGAUUCAUUAACAAGAUGGCUUGAAUUGUUUCAUCCAUCAGCCCUUCUCACUUCUUAGUUUUGGUUCAAUCUGCUUCUUCUGUCUAGAACGACUCUUUCAGCUUUAUCCAUCCUUCAAAUUUCAAUGCAAGCACCAAUCUCUUCAAGAACCAUUCCAGACACCUUCUCCCUGCACUGUUGUGAGUAAUCUCAUCUUCCCCUGGAAUGAUGCUUGAUAUCCUAGUGGAUAUGAACUGUGUCUCAGCCAUCUCUACUGCUUUCAUUAUGGCAUAGUCUUCUGAACAUGAUACAAACUCAUCCCAUGUUUUUGAAAUGGAUAUAUUUAAGACAAAAAUGUUAAUAGCACCUCCAGGAUGCUGGUUUCCAGGAUGAAUAACUGCCAAUGCAAAAAUUAGCAAAGUCAAGUAUAAAUUG